UACGUAGGGACCAAGCGUUGUCCGGAUUUAUUGGGCGUAAAGAGCUCGUAGGCGGCCCUCCACGUCGGAUGUGAAAGCUCAGGGCUCAACCCUGGGAUGCCAUUCGAUACGGGAAGGCUAGAGGUAGGUAGGGGAAAGUGGAAUUCCUGGUGUAGCGGUGAAAUGCGUAGAUAUCUGGAGGAACACCGGUGGCGAAGGCGGCAUCCUGGACCGGUAUUGACGCUGAGGCGCGAAAGCCAGGGGAGCAAACGGG
rnacentral:rRNA from 1 species